rnacentral:rRNA from 1 species
GAGUUUGAUCGUGGCUCAGGGCGAACGCUGGCGGCGUGCCUAAUGCAUGCAAGUCGCACGCACCACCUUCGGGCGGUGAGUGGCGCACGGCUGAGGAUCACGUGGGAACAUGCCUCCCGGUGGGGGACAACACCGCGAAAGCGGUGCUAAUCCCGCAUACGCUCGGGUGACCGAGGAAAGCGGUAACGCGCCGGGAGAGUGGCCCGCGGCCCAUCAGGUCGUAGGUGGGGUAAUGGCCUACCUAGCCGGUGACGGGUAGCUGGUCUGUGAGGACAGACAGCCAGACUGGGACUGAGACACGGCCCAGACUCCUACGGGAGGCAGCAGCAAGGAAUUUUCGUCAAUGGGCGCAAGCCUGAACGAGCAACGCCGCGUGGAGGAUGACGGCCUCGGUUGUAACUCCUUUUCGGGGACGAUGAUGACGGUACCCGGGAAUAAGGCUCGGCUAACUCUGUGCCAGCCGCCGCAGUAAG